CCUACGGGUGGCUGCAGUGGGGAAUUUUGGACAAUGGGCGCAAGCCUGAUCCAGCCAUGCCGCGUGAGUGAAGAAGGCCUUCGGGUUGUAAAGCUCUUUCGGCCGGGAAGAAAUCGGCGACUCUAACAUAGUCGCUGGAUGACGGUACCGGACUAAGAAGCACCGGCUAACUACGUGCCAGCAGCCGCGGUAAUACGUAGGGUGCGAGCGUUAAUCGGAAUUACUGGGCGUAAAGCGUGCGCAGGCGGUUUUGUAAGACAGAUGUGAAAUCCCCG
rnacentral:rRNA from 1 species